UGGGGAAUUUUGCACAAUGGGCGAAAGCCAUGAUCCAGCCAUGCCGCGUGCAGGAUGAAGCCCUUCGGGUUGUAAACUGCUUAUGUCGGAACGAUACGCCCUUUUCUAAUACAGAUGGUCUAAUGACGGUACCGUAAGAAUAAGCACCGGCUAACUCGUCCCAGCAGCCGCGGUAAUACGUAGGGUGCAAGCUUUUAUCGGAAUUACUGGGUGUAAAGCGUGCGCAGGCGUUUAUGUAAGACAGUUGUGAAAUCCCCGGUCUCAACCUGGGAACCGCAUCUGUACUGCAUAGCUAGAGUCGGUAGAGGGGGAUGGAAUUCCGCGUGUAGCAGUGAAAUGCGUAGAUAUGCGGAGGAACCCCGAUGGCGAAGGCGUCCCCUGGACCUGUACUGACGCUCAUGCACGAAAGCGUGGGGAGCAAACAGGAUUAGAUCCCCUGGUAGUCCACGCCCUAAACGAUGUCAACUGGUUGUUGGUUCUUCACUGGACUCAGUAACGAAGCUAACGCGUGAAGUUGACCGCCUGGGGA
rnacentral:rRNA from 1 species